rfam:Triticum aestivum genome assembly, contig: Triticum_aestivum_CS42_TGACv1_scaffold_570531_7AS
GAAAUACUCCCUCCGUCCGAAAAUACUUGUCGGUGAAAUGAAUAAAAAUAGAUGUAUCUAAAACUAAAAUACGUCGACAAGUAUUUCCAGACGGAGGGAGUACAGU